UGCUUUAUGUCGAUUUGAGUGCUAUAGAAUAUUCAACGAUGAAGUGGAUCGGUUUGACUUUCUUGAUGCUGUCAUCCUUGAUGGUGGCAACAGAAGCGCGACCCCAAGCCAGAUUCCCGCCUCACUUUCCUACAAGCGGGCCUUCCAUCCCUCCAUGCAACUGUACGUUCCUACCGUGUCCUUGUUAUCCUCCUAGACCCAUCGACUUCUUAAGGGCCAAGCGACAAGUGUGAAGAGGACUCCGGAGGGCCCUGCGACAAGUGUGAAGAGGACUCCGGAGGGCCCUGCGACAAGUGUGAAGAGGACUCCGGAGGGCCCUGCGACAAGUGUGAAGAGGACUCCGGAGGGCCCUGAGAAUCUUUGGGAUGCUUUUUCUCGGACUCUCUUAAGUGUUUUUCUUCAGGUUUUUGGACUGCCUGCGUAAAUUAGGUUUUCCCUUUAUCUGUAAAAGUUUUCUCAGGCGUUCUAUUCGCGUCUUCUACAAGUUCUUAAGAUUUCUUUAUCGUUAUUGCAAGUUAUCAAGUCUUG